rnacentral:rRNA from 1 species
AUUGAACGCUGGCGGCAGGCCUAACACAUGCAAGUCGAACGAGUGGCGGACGGGUGAGUAAUGUCUGGGAAACUGCCUGAUGGAGGGGGAUAACUACUGGAAACGGUAGCUAAUACCGCAUACCAUCAGAUGUGCCCAGAUGGGAUUAGCUUGUUGGUGGGGUAACGGCUCACCAAGGCGACGAUCCCUAGCUGGUCUGAGAGGCUGACCGGCAACACUGGAACUGGUACACGGUCCAGACGCCUACGGGAGGAAGAAGUGGGGAAUAUUGCACAAUGGGGGCAAGCCUGAUGCAGCAAUGCCGCGGGUAGGAAGAAGGCCUUCGGGUUGUAAAGUACGUUCAGCGGGGAGGCGGUACCCGAAGAAGAAGCACCGGCUAACUCCGUGCCAGCAGCCGCGGUAAUUC